ensembl:lncRNA
GGUACUCCUUACAGGAAGCAGAACAGGUUUAAAUUUGCUGCUUUGUAGUUUAAUCAGUUCAGUAUAUUUACAGCAAUAGCUUGCUUUGCAGGAUUUCACUGAUCAUCCCAAAUUUAUACUUUCUAAAGAAGCUGGAUAAUUUAAAAAUGUUUGGCCCUGAUCUAACUUCUACAAGGGAAAAAGAAUUCUAGGAACCUCCGAAGAGGUCUUAGAGCUACUGAUGUAUUUGUGCUGCCUGAUUUCUGUUGUGCCAAGGAUGAGAACUCCCUCAUGAUGAGCAAGGAAUCCUUAUCCCGUUGGGCUUUGCAGGUGUUUGAAUGUAGCAGUAGAGAAGAACGUAGUGAGAAGUCCCACAGCAAAGUGGAGGGAAAAUCUAUUAGAAAAUGAACAACAAAACAACUCAGCACAAGUAGCACCAGCUUGAUAAAAUGGUGGAAGAAGUGUGAUGGGGCAGAGCUGCUGUUAGGUGGGGACUUGAGGCCUGAGGAGCCUACUGUGAUGGGAGGACUUAGAAGACAUAAGCCCAAUGUUCUCAAUUUCCAGUAAACUGGAUCAGUCAAUAAUUCAUUUUCCUUGGGUA